AGAGUUUGAUCCUGGCUCAGGAUGAACGCUGGCGGUCUGCCUAACACAUGCAAGUCGAACGGGUAGGGGCGUGGAAACCACGCCCCCACUAGUGGCGGACGGGUGAGUAACGCGUGAGAAUCUGCCUUCAGGAUGGGGACAACAGUUGGAAACGACUGCUAAAACCCGAUGUGCCGCAAGGUGAAAAAUUUAUUGCCUGGAGAUGAGCUCGCGUCUGAUUAGCUAGUUGGUAGAGUAAGAGCCUACCAAGGCCACGAUCAGUAGCUGGUCUGAGAGGAUGAGCAGCCACACUGGGACUGAGACACGGCCCAGACUCCUACGGGAGGCAGCAGUGGGGAAUUUUCCGCAAUGGGCGAAAGCCUGACGGAGCAAGACCGCGUGAGGGAGGAAGGCCCUUGGGUUGUAAACCUCUUUUAUUAAGGAAGAAGAACUGACGGUACUUAAUGAAUAAGCAUCGGCUAACUCCGUGCCAGCAGCCGCGGUAAUACGGAGGAUGCAAGCGUUAUCCGGAAUCAUUGGGCGUAAAGAGUCCGUAGGUGGUCAAUCAAGUCUGCUGUCAAAGCCUGGAGCUUAACUCCAUCAAGGCAGUGGAAACUGGUUAACUUGAGUCUAGGAGGGGUAGAGGGAAUUCCCAGUGUAGCGGUGAAAUGCGUAGAGAUUGGGAAGAACACCGGUGGCGAAAGCGCUCUACUGGACUAGAACUGACACUGAGGGACGAAAGCUAGGGGAGCGAAAGGGAUUAGAUACCCCUGUAGUCCUAGCCGUAAACGAUGGAUACUAGGCGUAGCUCGUAUCGACCCGAGCUGUGCCGAAGCUAACGCGUAAGUAUCCCGCCUGGGGAGUACGCACGCAAGUGUGAAACUCAAAGGAAUUGACGGGGGCCCGCACAAGCGGUGGAGUAUGUGGUUUAAUUCGAUGCAACGCGAAGAACCUUACCAAGGCUUGACAUCCGACGAAUCUGAUUGAAAGGUCAGAGUGCCUUCGGGAGCGUCGUGACAGGUGGUGCAUGGCUGUCGUCAGCUCGUGUCGUGAGAUGUUGGGUUAAGUCCCGCAACGAGCGCAACCCUCGUCCUUAGUUGCCAAUAUUAAGUUAGGAACUCUAGGGAGACUGCCGGGGACAACUCGGAGGAAGGUGGGGAUGACGUCAAGUCAGCAUGCCCCUUACGUCUUGGGCUACACACGUACUACAAUGGUCGGGACAACGAGCAGCGAAGCCGCCAGGUGUAGCGAAUCUCAACAAACCCGGCCUCAGUUCAGAUUGAGGGCUGCAACUCGCCCUCAUGAAGGCGGAAUCGCUAGUAAUCGCAGGUCAGCAUACUGCGGUGAAUCCGUUCCCGGGCCUUGUACACACCGCCCGUCACACCAUGGGAGCUGGCCACGCCCGAAGUCGUUACUCCAACCUGCAAAGGAGGAGGACGCCGAAGGCAGGGCUAGUGACUGGGGUGAAGUCGUAACAAGGUA
rnacentral:rRNA from 1 species